rnacentral:rRNA from 1 species
UAGGGAAUUUUUCACAAUGAGCGAAAGCUUGAUGGAGCAAUGCCGCGUGAACGAUGAAGGUCUUUAAGAUUGUAAAGUUCUUUUAUUUGGGAAGAAUGACUUUAGCAGGUAAUGGCUAGAGUUUGACUGUACCAUUUUGAAUAAGUGACGACUAACUAUGUGCCAGCAGUCGCGGUAAUACAUAGGUCGCAAGCGUUAUCCGGAUUUAUUGGGCGUAAAGCAAGCGCAGGCGGAUCGAAAAGUCUGGUGUUAAAGGCAGCUGCUUAACAGUUGUAUGCAUUGGAAACUAUUAAUCUAGAGUGUGGUAGGGAGUUUUGGAAUUUCAUGUGGAGCGGUGAAAUGCGUAGAUAUAUGAAGGAACACCAGUGGCGAAGGCGAAAACUUAGGCCAUUACUGACGCUUAGGCUUGAAAGUGUGGGGAGCAAAUAGGAUUAGAUACCCUAGUAGUCCACACCGUAAACGAUAGAUACUAGCUGUCGGGGCGAUCCCCUCGGUAGUGAAGUUAACACAUUAAGUAUCUCGCCUGGGUAGUACAUUCGCAAGAAUG